AAAACGCUAUUAUAUACUUUUAUAGAACUUAGAAAAUGCAGUGUUUAAACUGUAAUGAUAUUAUAACGCUUGAUCUCAUUUCACAGCAUGAAUGUUUUAUUUAAGAAAACUUUAAUGAAAAUUAUUUCGAGCAAGAAAACUAUAAUGAAUCGAAUAGUUUAUGUGCAGAAAAGAAAGAACCUGCUAUUUGGAAUCAAAAUGCCACAUUAGCUCUUCUCAGUUUAUACGAAACAAAAAUAGAUAUGCUAGACCACCCCAAAAAGAAGGGCAAAAUAUGGGAAGCUAUAUCUACUGCUCUGCAAAAAGAUUUUGAUGUCUGUAGAUCAAGUCCGUUGGAAAAUAAAUUCGUUAAUGAAAAAGUAUAAGGGAUAUGUGGAUAACAAUUCAAAAUCAGGAAGAAGCCUAAUGACGUUCAAAUGGUUCAAUCAGAUGGAUGAGAUCUUUAAUAAAGGAAAAGAUGCUACUGUAAAUCAUGUUUUCUCAUCUAAAUGUACGAAUGCAAAGCCUUUAACUUCAUCUACGAAAGAAGUUCACUCCAAGUCUUCGACCUCAACAUUAUCCUUGCAAUACUUCUGAUACUAAAAGUUCUUGUUUUGACAAUUCAAAUGUUUCUAAGUCUAUUGGUUCUAUGUUAAAUACAAAAAGCCAAAAUAAAUAUUUACCGCGUGGAACCAACUCUAAUAUAGCAAGGGAUAAAGUUACAUUGGAAAAUCAAUGGUUAGAAUAUGUAAAGAUGAAGAUUGAACAUGACAAAGCCUGUGAUGAAAGACAUGUAUCUACCUCAGAACAUAGGGAAGAAGUAUUGAAGAUGAAAAAAAAGUAUUAUGCUGCGAAAGAAGAAGAAAUGAAGCAACGAAAACAAUAUUUAAUGACAAAGUUACAAGAAAAAGCAAAGAGACACACAGAAAUUGUAGCAAUUGAGGAAAAAAAGUAUAAACUAUUAAAAAAGACGUUAAAGUUAAUUCAUCAGAUUCCGACUAAUUAAAAUACUUGCAUUUUACAAUCUUAUUAUUAAUAAAAAUCAUAAGAUAUUUUAUUUUUUUAUGUAUAA